UACGGGGGGGGCAAGCGUUGUUCGGAAUUACUGGGCGUAAAGGGCUCGUAGGCGGCCAACUAAGUCGGAUGUGAAAUCCCCAGGCUCAACUUGGGAACUGCAUCCGAUACUGGCAGGCUUGAAUCCGGGAGAGGGAUGCGGAAUUCCAGGUGUAGCGGUGAAAUGCGUAGAUAUCUGGAGGAACACCGGUGGCGAAGGCGGGUCUCUGGGCCGAUACUGACGCUGAGGAGCGAAAGCGUGGGGAGCGAACAGG
rnacentral:rRNA from 1 species